rnacentral:rRNA from 1 species
UACAGAGGUCUCAAGCGUUGUUCGGAUUCAUUGGGCGUAAAGGGUGCGUAGGCGGCGCGGUAAGUCGGGUGUGAAAUCUUGGAGCUUAACUCCGAAACUGCAUUCGAUACUGCCGUGCUUGAGGACUGGAGAGGAGACUGGAAUUUACGGUGUAGCGGUGAAAUGCGUAGAUAUCUGGGGGAACACCGGUGGCGAAGGCGGCGUUCUGGACUGUUUCUGACACUGAAAAACGAAAGCCAGGGGAGCAAACGGG